UUUAUUAUUUUUUAUUUAUUUUCUUCCCUAUGCUUCUUAUAAAUACAGAAUAUAGAAAGUGAUGGAUCUACUGGAAGGCUGUUUUUUCCAAACAUAUAACUACGUUCCGAACAUUUCGCGGAUGUGACUUUAUUACUAGAUGUUAUAAUAAUGCUUGUUUGGCUUACUCUCAUAGUUUUAGAGUUUAUUUAAGAAGCAGAAGUUAAUCCUUGGUUCCUACGCAGCCAUGCUUGGAAAACUAUUACAAGGUAAAUGUUUUGUCAAAGAGUCAAGCCAAAACCAAAACACAGAACAGCACAGAUUAAGGCUGGAGAAAUUGAAAAUUGGGAAAAUCCUGCACACAAGCCGAAAAACACGUUGAAAAGUCAAAAGUCCGGCUUACGCUUAAGCGCAAUUAGCGUUAAUUGCGCCGGGCCACAGGAACAACAAGAUGAAGGACAACAACGCCAACAAUAAGCAUUAUGGCAAAAGCAAAAGCAAAAGCAAAAGCAGAAACAACAACAGAUUCCCACAGUCAACAACUGAGUUGCAUGAGGCCACAUCCACAUCCUGGCAGAAGCCAGGACCUGCCGCUGUUGCCGCUGCACACACGCAACAUUGCGGCCACUUGAAGUUUAAUUUAAUUUUUUCUUGCGGCUGCCGUCGCAGCGUCGCUUGAUUCAAGUGCCAGCACCCAGGGAUUGGCUGUUCAUUGGCGGGUCAUUCGGUGGGUGGUCGGGUGGUUGUGUGGUUAUAGUUAACAACGACAUCAACAUUAUCAUCAUCAUCAUCAUCAUCAUCGACAUCGACAUCGACAACGGCAACAGCAACGGCAGCCACAUCGAAGACGACAUCGGAGCGCCAUCGCAAUCGCAAUCGACGUUCGUCAAGCUCGUGUCGCAACUUGCGAUGAUUGAUGGUGCGUAAUUUGGAAAAUUAGAAGCACAUGAAAGGACAGGCAGGCAGGAUAUUCAGGAGCAACUCGAGCUACAGAAAAGGGGUGGCUCAGGUUUUUUGGGCCAUCGAAUGCGAGGCGCAACGCCCUUGCUAAUGUUGUUGGCACAACAAGGUGUGUCCUGGCUGGUCGGCUCGUAUGCCGCGUGUCCUGGCGCGUGCAGCCCAACAAAGUUGCGCGUGGUUAUUAGAAAACAAUUUAAUUAAAUAUUCACUUGAAACAGCCGAGCCGCAGCAAAAACUCCAGCGUCGCUUUCUCAUCAUAAAGAGCUCUAACAAUGCCCAUCAAUAUUAAACGAUGUCCAUUUAGACCGAUUCAGUUCACGUCCUGCGUCCCCGUUCCCGUUCCCGUCCUCCGACCCAUCCUCGUCCUCGUCGCUGGUCCGUGAUGUAAUGUGAGAAAGUUUUUGUUUUUUGUUUUGUGGGUGGGCUGAAAUUAAGAGUUAGACCCUGACAGCAAGGAAACGCCUUUGAUCUAGUUUGCAGCCACUUCUUUUAGGCGCGGGAUACGACUUUUUGUUUUUAACAAUUAGAAAGAUUUAUUAGUUAGGAGAUGGGGAACUCUAAAGAUUAGAGAUGUAGGUUCAAUUAGGUUCCAUAAGAUCGCUCGGUCAAAAAUUGAAUUAUUCAAGAUUGAUCGAAAAGCUUUCAUUGGAUUGUUCGCUAGCAAUUAAGUUGUAUAAGUUGUAUCGGACUUUAUUGCUAGAGCAACAUUAAGAUCAUAUUGUAUACAUUCCUUGGAGCCUUGGAUGCAGGCAAUAAUAAAUCUGUUCUUGUUAAUCUGAAAACAAAUUUAUAACAUGUCAUGUUAUCAAUCUAAAUAAUUAAAAUGUUCACUAAGCCACGCUAAAAAUCUAUAAUAAAUUCCUGCAAGUAUUAAAAAACGUUA